CGUAGGGUGCAAGCGUUAAUCGGAAUUACUGGGCGUAAAGCGUGCGCAGGCGGUGAUGUAAGACAGGUGUGAAAUCCCCGGGCUUAACCUGGGAACUGCAUUUGUGACUGCAUCGCUGGAGUGCGGCAGAGGGGGAUGGAAUUCCGCGUGUAGCAGUGAAAUGCGUAGAUAUGCGGAGGAACACCGAUGGCGAAGGCAAUCCCCUGGGCCUGCACUGACGCUCAUGCACGUAAGCGUGGGGAGCAAACAGGAUUAGAUACCCUGGUAGUCCACGCCCUAAACGAUGUCAACUGGUUGUUGGGUCUUCACUGACUCAGUAACGAAGCUAACGCGUGAAGUUGACCGCCUGGGGAGUACGGCCGCAAGGUUG
rnacentral:rRNA from 1 species